UUGAACAUGGUGUGAGGCGCACACCUGCGCCGAAGGGCCAUCUGGCCCUUCAUGCGAAAAAAAAAAAUGGCGCUGGGCGCCUUAUAUUGAGAAAAGAGGCAGUGAACCGCUUUUCUCAAAUAUUCCGGAAAUUGUGAGGUUCUCUAAAGGUGUUUCUAUGAAAAACUUUGAUCUAUGAAGAUUUAACGGUUCGAUCUUCAAUUCAAUUUUGAUAACGUAUCUACGAUGCCCGAUCUAAAUUUUUAUCGAUUGGUUUGAGGAUUUGUUGUGAGGAGCUUGCUAAACACUCUCCAAGUGUUGGAUUUACAUUUGGUGGAAUUUUUGAUGAUGUUCUUUUGGUUGCAGGUAUUCCGGUCGUAGUUGAUGGUGUUGUAGAAGUGAACUUGGGAUAUUAUAACCGAAGUUCGCCGCGAUAGUCAUAUUUGUGGGACUAUGGGCGUCCUUUAUUUUAUAGGUUUGGUAUAUGUCUUGUGACGCUUGAGUCACAUAUUAUUUGUAAAGCCAUUUUUUGAUGCAAUUAUUAUUUGGAUAAGCCUUAAACAGAUAGACAUAAUGACUCUUUUUGCGUAAAUAUCAGUUUAUGUUUAUAGAUGUGACUUCUGCUGUUCAAAUUAUGUUUUCCGCUGCAUAAAUGUUAUUAGGUGUGUUACUCUGAUUAUCAGGUAUAUAUUA